UGGAGCACAAAUCUCAUAUUAGUGGUAUUAGUUUCAUUCUUAUGUAUGUCUCUUGUUAUGUUAGUUUUGUUCUACAGAUUAGAGAUAUUCAUUCAUACAUUUUAGCUACUGUAAACCUGUGUUAGAUUACAUAGGUUUAAAAUAACUAAAAUCUAGUAAUGAAUGUCUCUGAUCUGUUUAACAAACUAACAGCAUAAGAGAUAUGCAUAAGAAUUAAACUAAUAUCAUUAACAUGAGAUCAUUUUAUCCCAUAUAUCUUAAUUUUUGAAUCAUUCUUCUACACGGACCCCCAGGUACUGGUAAAACAUCAUUGUGUAAAGCAUUGGCUCAGAAGCUGUCAAUUCGGUUCAGCUCCAGAUAUCCACAGUCCCAG